rnacentral:rRNA from 1 species
UACGUAGGGUGCGAGCGUUAAUCGGAAUUACUGGGCGUAAAGCGUGCGCAGGCGGUUCGUUGUGUCCGAUGUGAAAGCCCCGAGCUCAACUUGGGAAUGGCAUUGGAAACUGGCGGCUGGAGUGUGGCAGAGGGGGGUGGAAUUCCACGUGUAGCAGUGAAAUGCGUAGAGAUGUGGAGGAACACCGAUGGCGAAGGCAGCCCCCUGGGCCAACACUGACGCUCAGGCACGAAAGCGUGGGGAGCAAACAGG